AUUUUGCAAAAUUCUACGUCGUUAUUAUUAUUAUGAAUAACUUCUUUAUAUGUACGCAGUUACAAUUGGAGGUCGAACCAAUUUUGAGUAUUAUCGCAAAAAAAUAUACUUUUAUCAUAAUUGCAUGCACCGAGGAACUUAACACUGCACCUUGUGCAUAGAAAGUACCACUUCAUUAAAAACAUUUAACUAUGAACUAGUGGUAAAAACAGAUAAAAAUGCAAUUACAGUACUCACCUGACUCCUUUUUUUUUAAUAACCUGAUAACGCCGCCUAUAUAACACGCCAUGCAAGAAUUUCUUUCCAGUCGAAAUGAAGCUUCUUCUGAUUGCCGCUUUGGUCUUUUGCGCAGCUCUCCAAGCGGAGAGCGCAAAAGGUAAGUGCUACAGCUGUGGCAACGAUGACGACGAAAACAGUGGUUGAACCAGCCAAGACCAAAUGAAAGAAGUUGAGUGCACCAAGGGUGGUGCAACAUGCGUCCUCUUAUGGAACGGACGAAAAAAGGUUCGGCAAAUCCUGAUAACGCCGCCUAUAUAACACGCCAUGCAAGAAUUUCUCUCCAGUCGAAAUGAAGCUUCUUCUGAUUGCCGCUUUGGUCUUUUGCGCAGCUCUUCAAGGGGAGAGCGCAAAAGGUAAGUGCUACAGCUGUGGCAACGAUGACGACAAAAACAGUGCUUGCACUAGCCAAGACCAAAUGAAAGAAGUCGAGUGCAUAAAGGAUGAUCCAAUGUGCGUCCUCUAUGGAACGGACGAAAAAAAGUUCGCCAAAUGUAAUAAUGGCGUAAGCCGUGUCUGCCAACCGUACAAGGACAAGGGAAUGAAGUGCGGCAUAUGUAAGGGUCAUUUGUGCAACGAGUUUUCCAAAAAACUACCGGAAAACAUCGACCGCAAUUUCUAAUGACUAAUAAGUUGUUAGUUAUUCUGACAAUAAAUAUAAAGUUAAUAAAUUC